CUCGGUGGCGGUAGUAAUAGCCGCGGCUCCGAAGUGGACGCGUAUAGUACGGGGCGCUGAAUUUAGCGGCUUAGCUGUAAUGCAGGCAGACUCGCUUCACCUGUAUAAACGCGAUUAAGUCCCGCAAGAUAGAAGCUGCCAAUACUGAGUCUGUCUCCACGUGAAGAAAACUGGAUUAUAGCACAUGCUAUUCUGAAUUUUUAUAUUCACACCGAAGAUCCAUCGCAGGUUAGGCAUGCCAGGGGCUGCCAGACCGUGGGCGUAGCCGCUAGAUCGCGGAGAGACGGACCGAGGGAGUCGGGGAGAGAGCAAGUCAGCCCCAGAGAAGAUGGGCGAAACCGAGGAUGAGAAGUGCUCCCAGGCCGGGCAGCUCUUCGAGAACUUCGUCCAGGCUUCGACCUGCAAGGGCACCCUGCAGGCGUUCGGGAUCCUCUGCCGCCAGUUGGAGCUGGAUCCACUGGACCACAAGAACUUCUACAGCAGACUGAAGGCCAAGGUCACAUCUUGGAAGGCUAAGGGACUUUGGAGCAAGCUGGACAAGAGAGCUGGUCAAAAGGACUACAAGAAGGGCAAAUCGUGUGUGGGUACCAAGUGUCUCAUCAUUGGUGGGGGCCCCUGCGGCCUGCGGACAGCCAUAGAGUUGGCCCUCCUGGGGGCCAAGGUAGUGGUGAUAGAGAAGAGGGACACCUUCUCCAGGAACAAUGUUCUGCACCUGUGGCCGUACACAAUUCAUGACUUACGUGGCCUGGGUGCAAAGAAGUUCUAUGGCAAGUUCUGCGCUGGAUCCAUAGACCAUAUCAGUAUUCGCCAGCUACAACUCAUGCUGCUGAAAGUCUCCCUGAUCUUAGCCGUGGAAGUCCACGUCAAUGUGGAGUUUGUCAAGCUCCUGGAGCCCCCGGAGGACCAAGAGAAUGAAGGUCCUGGGUGGAGAGCUGAGAUCUGCCCCUCUGAUCACCCCAUUUCCGACUUUGACUUUGAUGUUGUGGUUGGAGCAGAUGGGCGGAGGAACACGCUGGAAGGUUUCAGAAGAAAGGAGUUCCGCGGGAAACUAGCCAUCGCCAUCACUGCCAACUUCAUCAACAGAAACACCACAGCCGAAGCCAAGGUGGAGGAGAUCAGCGGCGUGGCCUUCAUCUUCAACCAGAAGUUCUUCCUGGAGCUUAAGGAAGAGAUGGGCAUCGACCUGGAGAACAUCGUGUACUACAAGGACAACACUCACUACUUCGUCAUGACUGCGAAAAAGCAGAGCCUUCUGGACAAGGGAGUCAUCAUCCAUGACUAUGCCGACACGGAGAUGCUGCUCAGCGGCGAGAACAUGCAGCAGGAGGCGCUGCUCUCCUACGCACGCGAGGCCGCCGAUUUUGCCACCAACUACCAGCUGCCCUCACUGGAUUACGCCAUGAACCACAACGGACAGCCAGACGUCGCCAUGUUCGACUUCACCUGCAUGUACGCCUCGGAGAACGCCGCGCUGGUGCGAGAGCGCUUCGGCCACCGCCUGCUGGUGGCGCUGGUGGGGGACAGCUUGCUGGAGCCGUUUUGGCCCAUGGGCACUGGGUGUGCUCGGGGCUUCCUGGCGGCCUUUGACACCGCGUGGAUGACGAAGAGCUGGGCUCAGGGCAGGCCUCCCCUGGAAAUCCUGGCAGAGAGGGAAGGCCUCUACAGACUGCUGCCUCAGACGACCCCCGAAAACAUCACCAAGAACUUUGAACAGUACACUAUAGAUCCAGCAACCCGUUACCCCAACCUCAACUCCAACUGUGUCAGGCCACACCAGGUGCGCCACCUGUAUAUAACGGGGGAAUUGCAGCCCGGCUCCCUGGAACGUGCUGCUUCAGUCAGACGACCUGUUAAUCUGGGCCGAAGAGAGUCUGAUGUCCGGCCCAGUCGGCUGCUGACGUGGUGUCAGAGGCAUACGGAGGGCUACAGGAAUGUGUGCGUGUCUGACCUCACUUCCUCCUGGAAGAGUGGUCUGGCGCUAUGCGCCCUCAUCCACAACUUCAGAGCUGACCUCAUUGAUUUUGAUUCGCUCAAUGAGGAGGAAAGUGCCAAGAAUAACCAAAUGGCUUUCGAUAUCGCCGAGCGCGAGUUGGGCAUCCCACCUGUCACCACCGGGCUGGAGAUGGCAUCCGAUAGGGAUCCGGACAAGCUCAACAUGGUGUUGUACCUCUCCAAGUUCUACGAGAUGUUCCGCGGUGACCCCAUACCUGCAUCAGGCUUCAAAAGGGAAACUGAUCAAAAUGAAGAUUAUUCUGGAAAGAUCGCCAACUCCAUUUCCAAUUUAAAGAACUUAUCACUGCCAAGAAAACGGAUACCAAAGGGUGAGCAGAAGUCUGAUGAUAAGGACACGAUAAGCAAAAGGCGAAGAAAGUUCAGCAAUUAUUUGGAAGAGGCCACCAACUUCCCCAGUCAGACUGCCAACUCUGUGGGCGAGGACACAACUCUGAAGGAGAAUAAGGUCAAAUUCAUGGCCACCAAGCUGCAAGCAAAGUUUGAGGAGAAUGUCCCCACCUGCUCUCUCCGCAGGCAGAUCGAGUCUGACUUGGCCACGGCGAGGCCCCCCCGGCCUCGCUCUGUCGACCUUGUCGAGAACCCUCGCUUUGCCAGACCCAAGGACCAAGCCCCGCCUUCCCCUUCAUCAAAAAGGCAGCUAGCCCUCCUUGCGAAAUGCGCACUGGAAUGCGGCACCGCGCCCCUGCCUAGCCCCCCUCCGUACAUUCCCAGGGAGCCCCGACAAACGCGCGGCCGGCCCGAGGCCGACAACUCCGCCCACGCAGAUUACCCAGAGCCCCCGGCUUCUUGCCGCUCGGCGGUGCUGGCCGUGUCUGGAAUGCUUCGGCGACUGCGAUGCCUGGAGGAUCACAUCAGCGAGAAGAGAGCUCAGACGCAGAAAGCUAGGGAGUUUCAGAAAAAGAGUAUCAAAGAGAAGGCCGUCCACCUGAGCUCCUUGUUCUCUGACCCGAUCCAGCCUGUCUGCUCUGCACAGACCCACCCACCCGCUGCCCGGCCCAAAACCUCCUCCAGCCAGCCUCCCCCAGAAUCCUCUGCUCUUUGUUAUUCUUCUCCUGCCUCAGUCCCAUCUCCUCCCGGCCAAAGACAGCAGUGCGGCGGUAAUAGCAGCUCGCGUCUGAUUUUUCCAAAAGCUGCAGAAAUGCCACAGGCUAAUCAGUCUGAGAACGCCUCGUCUUCAAAGCAGCGGACCGUGGGGAAGGUGUCCCUGGUCAUAGGCGCGAUGGCUGAAACACUAGCCACGCUCUAUGAGACCGAUCACAGGCCUCAGACCAUGCGUCUGCCUGCCCCACUGGGUUCCCUGCGGAGGGAGUUCCCGCCAAGCCUGGGCGGCAGUGACACGUGCCACUUCUGCCAAAAGCGUGUGUACGUGAUGGAACGGCUCAGUGCUGAGGGGCUGUUCUUCCACAGGGAGUGCUUCCGCUGUGACACCUGCAGUGCCACUCUCCGCCUGGGGGGGCAGGCUUUCGACUCUGACCAAGGCAGGUUCUACUGCAAGCUUCAUUUCGCUCAACAGAAAGCACUCAUCAAGCACAGGAGGAGGACAGUCGAACUGCAGAAGGGGGAUCAGGAGGUGGGAGCCCAGGGGGGCUCGGUGACGAUGGCCCCUGAUGGGAAAGCUCCCCACUCAGCCGACAGUAUCCCGGAGAGCCAGCCAGCAGGUACUGCCAGCUCUUUCCUUAGGCGAAGCCUGAUGUGGCCCCUGCACGUGACGUGGGCCCUGACGGAGGGGCCCCGCCGGCUGUCCCGCCGUCUCCAUGGCGCUGCGCGGGCCGCCGGCCUCCACCUGAGGGAGCAUGCGGAGGAGUACGGCUUCCUGUUCGAGCUGCUGAGCCUGGGCUUGCCGCUGCUGUGCGUGCUGCACGAGGUGGUGGCCCAGAUGCUGGAAGAGGUCGGGCCCCUUUGCACCCACCAGCUGGUUCUCUGGGCAGAGCAGCAGUUGGGGGUCAAUCUCCUCUGACAAGCCCCAGGCUUAAGGGUCCUACACCCAGUGCAGCACGGUACCUUGCGUUCGGAUGAUGGCCGUUAUCUGACCAUGUAUUCAAGCACUUGCUUCUUACUCUGCUGGUUCAGAUUCUUGGGAUAUUGAAUCAAGCUGACUGAUUGGCCUGAAGUAGAUGUUAUAAUAAUACAGGCUUUCUUUUCUAUUGGGAUAUCAGCCAAACAGGAAGUGUAACCGAUAGCUUCAUGUGGUAACUAGCAAGUGCUUUAAAAGGCUGUUUGUGAUCUUGAAUGAAUAAAUGCACAACCUCUAGCACGGCAGAGGGUUAUGUACACUUUGGGAUGGUGGCUUUUACGUCACCUGUAAAGUCAUGCUGUCCAGUUCAAACCAGGCAAUCUGAUACUGACUGAAGAACUAUUUGUACACGUGGCUUGUUCAGCUUCCAGCCUCGAUUUGUUUUUGGGCACAGCUCAGGUUACGGGUGUGUUUUUUUUUUUUUUUUAAACUAAAAAAGUAGCCAAAAUCGACUCACUGAAAGCACUUUAUUUGAGGAGCUGACAGGGCUGAACUUUCUAGAUGUGACAGAGUCGGCGAGAAUCCACCGGCUGCAAACGAUGAGGAGCAUGAUGAUGUUCCUCUGCCUUAUAAACCGCCACGUUCUGACCAAAAACUUCUUACCCAUGGUAUUACCAAGCAUUUCGCAAUUGACAAACGUUUGUUUUUUUAGCAGCAUUUAGCAUUUACUAUUUAGAAAUGGUUCCUGAAUACUAGCCGUGACCAUAAAUGUAAAUAUUUUUAUCAUGCACUGUAUUUGUAAUUGUUUCUCUUUCCAUUGUUAUAAUAUACAUCAUGCGCUGGACAACUGUUGACAGUUUUAGGACUUGUCAGGCUAUAGGAAAAUGUUUACACUCAAAAUCAGGACUUUGCAUAUUGCUGUAUUUUGCAUCCUCUUCUGAAACUGAUCAGUAUUUUGCGAUGUAAGAUGGAGCAAUAUAUUGGAUUGCAGGGAGUAAUGUCUUUACAGGUGGCAGUUUACAUUGUACAUCUUUGUACAUCAUAAUACUGUACAUUUGAUAAAUGCAAGUUAGAGGUAUUCAGUGCACUUGUUCCCUUCUAUUAUCAAGAUGUUUUGCAAAUAUUUUAUACAUGAAAGUGAACUCUUUGAAUAGGGUGACCUGCUUGCUAAGAUACUCCGUAAAAUUUUUGUGUUAUUAAUUAUAAAUUAAGUGUUAAUUGAGCACACGUACAUGAUAACAGAAUUCAACAUGUUGAACUGAAUACUAGCAUUUCAAAUGCCACGAUUGUCUGUUUGAUCUCUGUGGGAGAUUCGAAAUGUCACUUAAAACGUCUGCAGUCAUGUAAAACAGCUCAGAUGUUCGUGUGUGUCUGUAUAGACAUAUCAUCCAACAUCCAUAUUUGAAGGGUCUUUAACAGAUAUAAUGUUUAUCAAAACCAUUCUGUUUUGUAGAGCACUGAUGCCAUUUUGUGCCUUACGUUCAUUCAGCUGAACGUUGCCACAUCAGUCACAGUAGAGUAAUUCACUUUUGUAUGUUGUGACUGGUAUCCACUGGAGCGUGGAUAAAAUCAUUCUGCUGCAUGGAACGCAAGAACGUGUCUGUUGGGAGAACCAAAUGAUUUCAUAUGAAUAUUAAGCAUUACAAUCACAGGAUUAUCCCAAAAGAACCACCAUAUGGUAGAUUCACUGUCUGAACCUACUGCUUGCACAGCGUGAAGCUAAAUGAUGUUUGUUAAUUAAUCAUGCAGUCAUGGUUUACUCUAUUCUGUGUACAGGAAUGUACUUUAUGUGUAGCGGUGGAAGCAUGAGAUUGCAGGUCAAAAGUAAGAGGUUACAGUCUCGCAUAUUAUAUUGCCAAGAUGCAGUAAAACCAAUGAAUUCCAAUGAAAAAAGCCAGUAGCACUGUAUAUAAGGCCAUGUUUUAGUAACUUAUAAACCCGUUCACAGCAAAUAAAAAUGCAUUCAUAAAGCAUUAAAAACAUCAAAAGACAUAACACGUUAUAGCAAUGCUUAUUAUGCAUUAUGAAUGCAUUAUGAAGCUCUCAUCUACAGUGCGCUACGUAUAUCUUUAUAAUGCAUCAAAAUGGUUGGUAUAAGCAUUUAGGAUGUUUUUUACAGCAUUAUAAAGGUGUCUAUAGUGUAUUAUAUUUUUCUAUAUUCAUAAUGCAUAAUAAACAUGACUAUAAUGUGUUAUGCCUUUUUAUAGCCAUGUUUAUAAUGCAUUAUGAAUGUGUUUAUAAAUUACUAAAAACAUGGCCCUAAGUAAAGUCUUACCAAAAGGGAUUAUAUACUAUAUUCAGAGGAUUAUAGUAACAGCACAGAUAUUAUUCAUGGAAUGUUGAGAAUAUUCUGUCAGACUGUACCAGGCUAUGUCUUCCAGACUCUUCAUUUCACCCACUUUCUUAUGGUUUCAUGUUUAUAUGGACAUUUCUGUGGCUCUUACUAAUACGUGAUUUCUACCUGUUCUCUUUUCUCACCUGUCCUUUCCGAAUUUUCAUAAUUCCAUUUUGUCCUGAUUUACUUGUAGUUUGUUUCGAGUUUCCACUGCUGCAACCUCUGAUUGGCUGAAUCGUGACAGCAGGAAGAAGCCGCUUACUUUUCAGAAAGUCAUGCUGGAGCUCUCUCUCUUUUUCCUUCUGAGCAAAUUGGGAUUCAUUGCUCCUCAGAAGACCGCAA